rnacentral:lncRNA from 1 species
AUACGCAGCGUGAGAGAAGGCCUCUUGUACAUCAGCCUUACGGAGAAAAGUCUGGAUGUAAAAAGAGAUCUGAUAAACAUCAGAACUGCAGCAGAUUUCUUAUGGUUGGGAGUUGAACUUUAUCGGAGGUGGCUAAAGAAUGAUCUGCAAAAAAUGGCUCUCGAAGGGAAAACUUCAAUGGAGAAUCUUCAUAGUCUGAAUAACAUAGCUAAAAGAACUGUUUUGAAAUUUAAGAAGAAAAUGAGUGGAGGUCCAAUGGAAAAUCCUCUUAACUGGCCAGUAAAAGUCAUUGCUGCCAAUUCGAUGUACAGAAUCAGCCAAACUAUACUUCUAGACUACCAAUGCAGCAAUAAUCAAACAACCGAUGAAAAUAUGUUUGAGCAAUUAUCUAUUAUGAUUGCAGAUAUAUUGGGUGCAUGCCUCACCAACUUACCGCGUGUCAUAACAAUGAAGUGCUUUUGCAGUGCUAUAGAAAGCAGGGAGGAAAGUGUUUUGCUUGCUGCUCGUCUUCUAGGUGAAACUGAAGAGAUUCUGAAAACUAUCCAAAAACAUGAACUUCCUGAUCUCGACCUUAACAAAGUGACAUAUAUUGAUGAGUGGCGCUCUUUAAUCAAGGAGAAGUAUUCCGAGCCUUUCAUUCACUCGUACAAUAAGGAAACAUCUUCUUAUGGUUCUCCUGAGCUGCAUAUAGAUAUUGUGUAGAAUGCUUCGGUGAGAAUAUAUAGGUAGGUCAAGAUUCAUAUGUUAUAUUGUCCUCCUCGUGUAGAAUAUUGGAUCAAAUUCUGCAAUUCUCGAGAGAAUACUAAUCCCAAUAGCAGUCAAAAAAUCAAUCUAAUAAUGCUCUACGCCUCUACUUUGACCUGGUCAUGUAUAAUGUAUAAUAAUCUUUGUUUUUGAUGGUAAUGAUUUUAAACUUCAUUUUACAGCCACCAAUUAUAUACAACUGUUGGUUGAGCAAAAGUGGCAGUUUACUAAACAACAGUUGACCCAAAAUCAUCAAAUUUAUUCACAAAAAAACAACUCCCAGUGACGCAUUUUGGAAGAGAGAAUAAGAGCAUACAAGAAGAUGGGUAGGCUAGGCUGUACCAGUGAAGGUUACCUGGAUGAGUCAAAAUUCAACGAGCCGAUGCCAUGGAUUGGCAUCUAUGUUGCAGCAGCAUCUGCAGCUUGUACCAUGGCCAUGGCUAUGGAUACCUUUCAUGGCUUACGAUAUCGAAAAUUCUGGUUCCCCUGCAAAUUUUUCUCCC